AUUUCUUUCUCAGCCCAUUUAUUGUCUGUAUAUAGUAGGGCUACUGAAUUUUUUUAGUUAAUCUUGUAUCCUGCCACUUUGCUGAAGGUGUUUAUCAGCUGUAGAAGUUCCUCUGUAGAUUUUCGGGGGUCACAUAUGUAAACUAUCAUAUCAUCUGCAAGCAGUGAAAGUUUGACUUCUCCCUUUCCAAUUUGUAUCCCCUAGGUCUUCUUUUAUUGUCAUAUUGCUCUAGCUAGAACUUCAAGGACAAUAUUGAAGACAUCUGGAGAGAGUGGACAGCCUUGUCUUGUUCCUGAUUUUAAGGAAUUGAAUUGAGUUUCUCUUCAUUUAGUUAUAUGUUAGCUGUUGGUUUACUGUAUAUCAGGCAGGUUAUUCCUAAAUGUUGAAUAAGAGAUGGUGAAGAUGAGGAGUUAAUUUUAUCACUAGACCAAAGAUAAAAGAUAAAUGGAUUUUUACUGGGGACAAUUACACAGAAAAAAAAUGAAAGAACUUCAGGAGCUUUUCCCUGUUCUUCCUACUGGAUCAGCUGACACAACAGAAAGAGCCUGCAAAGGAAAGCCAUACCUCAAGCUCCUUUGUUUAUACUUCCUUCUACCUGAAGCCACACCCAAAUGGGAAUGCCCACCAUUUCAGGUCCACAGACCAGAUGCCUACAUGAUGGUGUGAUUGUUCCUGCCAUAUGCUUUACAACCUCCCUAUUUUAUCUUCUCUAAAGGUCAAAAUCAUUUAGGGGGUUCCAUGACCCUGAAAUUGCUUACUCCUUGACUUGCUGUGCUGCUUUCCAGUCCUAUCACCACUGCAAUAGCACAGCAAAUGCCUUCCCUGAGAGCAUCAUACUAUACAGUAAGAAGCAGGAGACUUAAGUGAAAAUAGAGAUAAAGGAAAACAGCCCCCAAAACUUUAAAAGUAACAAAAUUCCACAGAGUAACAGUUGUAAAAUAGCUAUAGAGUAGGGGCGGCCUGAGAAAAUGGCUUAAUUGCUAAAGUACUUGUGUUUUCAUCCUGAAGACCUGAGUUCCCAUCUCUAAGAAUCCACAUGAUAUUUGGGCACAGCUCAGCUGUGGGAGGCAAUUUUUUGUGAUCUGGACACAAACUAAGGACACUGGAGAAGAGACACCAUCAAUUGAAGAACUGCCUCCAUCAGAAGACCAAUGGCUCAAUCAUUAAAAAGUAUUCUUCUGAGAAGAAAACCUAAUCAUUUUGCUAAAGUCUGACAAUAUGGUUUGUCUGAAGGUUAAAGCAAUGAAGAUCAAUUGUGAGAGUGAAAGCUGCAAAAUAAUGGAAACAACAUUUUAAAUUUAAUCUCUAAUAUUAUUUCUAUUUAAUAUAGUACUUGAAGUUUUAGGUAGAGCAACAAGACAACUAAAGGAGUUCAAGGGGAUGAAAUUAGAAAGGAAUAAGUCAAAGUAUUGAUAUUUGCAGAUGAUAUGAUAGUAUAUAUAAACAACCCCAAAAAUUCUACCAGAAAACUUCUACAGUUGAUAAACCCCUUCAGCAAAGUGACUGGAUACAAAAAAAACUAAAAAAAAAAAAAAAAAUCAAUAGCCCUCCUAUAUACAAGUGAUAAAUGGUCGAAGAAAGAAUUUGGGAAACAAUACCCUUCACAAUAGCCAAAAAUAGUUUAAAGCAUCUUGGAGUAACUAACCAAGCAAUUGAAAGACCUGUGUGGUGAGAAAUCAUGUCGUUGAAGAAUAAAAUUGAAGAAGAUAUCAUAAAAUGGAAAGAUAGCUCAUGCGUUGAUAGGAUUAACACAGUAAAAUGGCAAUCUUACCAAAAGCAAUGUACAGAUUCAAUGCAAUUCCCAACAAAACCCCAACACAAUUCUUUAUGGAACUUGAAAGAACAAUUUUCAACUUCAUAAUGGGAAGCAAUAACCCAGGACAACUAAAACAAUCCUGUCCAAUUAAAAAAAAAUUUUCUAGAGGUAUCACCAUCACUUAUCUCAAGCUCUACUACAGAGUUAUAGCAAUUAAAAGAGCAUGAUAUUAGCAUAAAAGCAGUUGAUCAAUGAAACUGGAUAGAAGUUUCAGAUUAAUACACAUACCUAAGGACAUUCAAUUUUGGAUAAAGAAGCCAGAAAUAUACAAAUGGAAAAAAGAAAGCAUCUUCAACAAAUGGUGGUGGUCUAACUGGAUGUCAGUGUGUAGAACACAAAUAGAUUCAUAUGUAUCACCCUUGAAAAAAACUGAAGUCCAAAUGGAUUAAAGAUCUUAAUAUAAAACUAGAUACACCAAACCUGACAAAAGAUAAAGUGGGGAAUAGCCUUGAAUGAAUUGACACAGGAGACAACUUCCCAAUCAGAACACUAAUCUUCUCAUCUUGUAGGCACUUAAACCAACAAUUAAUAAAUGGGACAUCAAGAAACUGAAAAGCUUCUGUAAGACAAAGGACACUGUUAAUAGGACAAAAAGCAGCCUACAGAAUGGGAAAAGAUCUUCCCCAAUCCCAAAUCUGACACAGUACUAAUUUCCAAAAUAUAUAAAGAACUCAAAAUCUGGUGAUCAACAAACCAAAUAACCCAAUUUAUACAUGGGGUACAGAUAUAAACAAAGUAUUAAUGACAGAGGAAUCUCAAAUGGCUGAGAGUCACAUGAAAAAAUAUUCAACAUCCUCAGUCACCAGGGAAAUGCAAAUCAAAAUAAUACUGAAAUUCCAUUUUAUGCCUGACAGAAUGGCUAAAAUAAAAACACAAGUGAUAGCUCAUGACAGAGAGGAUGUCCAGCAAGGGGAACACUCCUCCACUGCUGCUGGGAAUGCAAACAUACAUGUACAGCCACUUUGGAAAUCAACAUAGUGUUUUCUCAGAAAAUUAGGUAUCAACCUACCUCAAGGCCCAGCAACAACUUUCCUGGGCAUAUACCCGAAGGACAUUCUACAAUACCAUAAGGACACCUGCUCAAAUGUGUUCAUAUCAUAAUUUGAUAUCAUAAUAUUAUUCAUAAUAUCAAAAAACUGAAUCAAUCUAGAUGUCCUUCAACUGCAGAAUAGAUAAAGAGAUGAGAUUGGGUAUGUUCAGGGUAGUAUGCCUGUAGACUCAUUUUUAACAGAUGUGUAAUACUCCAUUGUAUUUGUAGAACAUAAAUAGAUUCAUAUCUAUCACUCUGGAAAGAAACUCAAGUCCAAAUGGAUAAGAGAUCUUGAUUUAAAACUAGAUGCAGUGAGCCUGAUAGAAGACAAAGUGGGUUAGUGGGGGUUGGGAGAGGAGGAGAGAGAGAGGAGCUGGGAUUGACAUGUGACACAAGAUUGUCUCUAAUUUAAAUAAAAAAAUAAUUAGAAAAAAGAAUAGAUAAAGAAAAUGUUGUACAUUUACACAAUGUAGAGCUACACAGCUGUUAAAACAAUGGCAUCAUAAAAUUUGCUGACAAAUGAAUGAAACUAGAAAUGACCUUCCUGAGUGAGGUAACCCAGGCCCAGAAAGACAAAUACUCACUUAUAAGUGGAUAUUAGCUGUAAAGUAAAGAAUACCCAUGCUACAACCUACAGACUCAAAGAAGCUAAGUAACAUGGAGGAUGAAGGGAAGACACAUGAAUCUCAGUGUGAAAAAGGAAAUAGAAUAGACAUCACAUGUUGAUUGGGGAGGGGUAUGGAUGGGAGCCUUGGGCAUGGAAACAGGAGGGAUCAGGUUGGGGGAGAAUGAUAGAAGAGGCUACAGGGAAAGAUAACUAGAAUCAGGGGUGUCUCUGAAAUGAAUUAGAAACCUAGUACAGUGGAAAUUCCCAGGAAUGUAUGAGGGUGACCCAAAGACUCCUAACAAUGGAGUAUAUAUACCAUGAACCAUCCAUCUUCUGUAACCAGGCAAGACUUCCAGAGGGAGAGAUUGGGACCCCAAACCAGCCACAUAACCUUUGAAAUAUAAUUUUGUCGUGCCUACAAAACAUACUGGGGUAAAGGUGGCACUGAAAUUAUGACUGGUCCAGCUUGUGAUCCAGGCCAUAUGGGAGCCCACCCUUGACACUGAAAGCCCAGAGACUUAGGAUAGAACCAAACACACCAGCAAAAUAAAUUCAAUGAAAUAUGAAAUGAUAUUCUGCUAUACCUGUAGAUUGGUGCCUAACCCAGUUGCCAUUAGAGAGGUUUCACCCAGCAACUGAUGGAAACAGAUGCAUAGACCCACAGCCAAACCAUAUUUUGAUGUGGGGAAUAUUGUAGAAGAGGGUUGGGAGAGCCAUAGGGGCCAAGGACACCACUAGACAUCACUAAAUCAACUAACCUGGGCUCAUUGGAACUCACAGAGACUGAAUCAACUAUCAAGGAGCCUUCAUGGGACAUUUGGAGGCCCUCUGCACAUACAUUACUGUUGUGUGGCUUGGUUUACCUGUUGAACUCCUAUUAGUGGCAGCAGAGGCUGUCUCUGACUCUGUUACCCAAUCUCAGUAGAAGAGGGGGUGCCAAGUCUUACUGCUACUGGAUUGGGGAUAUACAUAGGAGGCCUUCCCUUUUCUGAAGUGAAAGAAGGAGAGGAUUGUGGGGAGGAAGAAGUAAGGUUGGGGAGAGGGAAUAGAUGAAGAAAAGGGAGGGGAAACUGCAAUCAGACUGGAAAACUGAAUUAAUGAAUUAAUAAAAAAAUAAAUUUAAAAGAAGGAGAAAGUAAUGUCAUUUUUUAAUUUGUGUUUUUGUCUACUUGAGGCUAUGAAGAUCAAUUUUGAGAGGCAAAGCUGCACAAUAAUUGAACUAACAUGUUUUUAAUUCACACUGCAUCUUCCCUAGAGUAGUAACUCUAACUCAAUGGUUUCUUAGCCUGCCUAAUGCUUUGACACUUUAGUAUAAUUUUGUAUGCUGUGUGUGGUGACCCUAACCAUAAAACUAUUUCAUUGCUACUUCACAACUGUAAUUUUAUAUGAAUUAUAAAAUAUAUAAAUAUAUUAUAUGAAUUAUAUGAAUUAUAAAAUAUAAAUAUAUUACUCAGAGAGGUUUGGGACCAGCAAGAUAGGAAUCCUGCUCUGACUACUCUGAUAAGAAGACAGAGACCUUGAAGAUCUAUCUAAAGAAACACUAAACAUGGUUACGGUCUUAAAAGCACUCUUCUUAUGUGAUCACCUUAUCUGUGAAGUUGAUUUACUAACAAUGCUUUUGUGAGGAUAUGUCCAAAUAAUUAAUGAAGAAGAAGCUCGAUAAGGAAACAUGAUGAGAAUAAAGGGAUGAAUGUGAUAGUUUGUUCAGUAAAAUAAGAUAAAGAAUUCUUUGCUACAUUUUACUUAUUUAGUGUAUGAGGCAAGGAAGAUGUUUUACAAAGGUCUCCAUGUGAAACUCAUAGGAUAAUUUUCAGGAGUUGUUUAUCUUCUUCCACUACAGGAGUUCUAGAGAUGGGAGUUUGUUGAUUAGGAGCUGAGUCAUCCUACCAGCCCUUGAGUUGUUCUUGAUAUUUGAUACCAAUACUAUGUAAAAUGAAGCAGUUUCUAAAAAGAAAUUCUUAAAGCUAUCUCAUGUUUUCUUAUCAUAUGAAAAAAGAAUAGGAAAUGGUUUUUGACCUGUUCCCAGAGUUGGGAACCAGUCACAACCUUUAGGUGAACUUAAGAAGAAUGAUAAAAUGUUCUGGAAAGAUCGCCUAAGUGCUGUAUUCUUGGAGAAAGUGAGAGGACAGGUAAGAUCAGGAGGAUCAGGUAAGAUAGAAUUUAUUUCAGUUUAUUUAUUUACUUAUUUAUUUAAUUUUGGGGAUAAUGGAACAACAGGUUCGCUACUAAUUCAAUUAUGUUUUAUGAAUGGUGGUGGGAAUUGAAAAUCCAAAUGAUCCACAUCUCAUUACCCCUACAGGCUGAUCUGAUGUGGAAUCAUGGGAACUGAAUCAGAUUUUAGAGUUGUGAAGCCAAAUUGUGCUUUUAGCAUUUCACAGAUGAAAGCUUGGAUCAUAAAUUCCCUUUGUUGCUUUCGAUCCCCUCUAGUGACUCUCCUCACUGAUUAUAAAUCAGAAAGUGUUACAUACAUCAGCUGAGCCAUGUUGUAAACAGUCUUCAAAACUAGCCUUUUCUAAGGCUCUAAGCUAUUUAAAACUCUCUUCAGAAACAAAGGACUAACCUAAAUAUUCAGAUUGUGAAAUCUGCCCCCACAUCUUUUCUCCAAAUUCUGAUACCUAAUUAUCAUCAGUAAAGCAAAGCUAAUCUCAAAACCCUUUUAGGAAUACAUUACAUGCUGUUUAAAAGCAAGCCUUAUUGAAAUACACUUUGAUAUAUCAACAACUGUACAUGUUUAUUGUGUGUAAUUUGAAGAUUUUAGUAUAUGCAAACAUCCAUGAUACUAUCAACAUAGUUCAGGAAGUUGAAAUACCAUCUCCCAAAAUUUCUUCAUUUCCUUUGUUUGCGUUCAGUGACAAGAAUACUUAGAAGGAAAUGUAUUGUUAACUAGUUUUAAGUGACAAACUCUCAGUCAUUCUAGAUGACUAUAUUCUAAAGGUCUAUGAGAGAGAUACAAACAACGUAUUGUCCUUAAUGCAUGAAUAAAUACAUAGACAUUUUAGCAUGCAGUAUUAUUGUCUAAAUCUUAACAAUUAGUACACAAUGUUGCAUUUAGGUAUUGGAAUCGCUUUAAAGCCAAACCUAGUUUCUUCAUGUAAAACAUUUCAUGGCAAAUUUUUGAGAUUUCCCCUAAGAACCACAUUUUUUCUUUUAUUUUUCUCUAAAAUAUUACAGUCUUCUGUCUCCACUCUACCCAGCUUCACCCUAUUGUGGGAAAUUACCAAUACUGAGUCAGGUAGAAAUAUAAGGGUAUUUAAUGGGGAAAAGCCUUACUUACAGAGCAACCUAGCCAGCUGGUGUG